rnacentral:rRNA from 1 species
UCGUACGUACGGCGACCGGCGGCACGGGUGCGUAACGCGUAUAGCAACUACCCAUUACUAGGGGAGUAACACUGAGAAUCGGUACUAAUACCCCAUACAAUCCAGGAGGCAUCUCUUGGGUUGAAACUCCGUGGUAAUGGAUGGCAUGCGUUGUAUUAGUUAGUUGGUGGGGUAACGGCUCACCAAGACAACGAUACAUAGGGGGACUGAGAGGUUAACCCCCCACAUUGGUACUGAGACACGGACCAAACUCCUACGGGAGGCAGCAGUGAGGAAUAUUGAUCAAUGGACGCAAGUCUGAACCAGCCAUGCCGCGUGCAGGAAGACGGCUCUAUGAGUUGUAAACUGCUUUUGUACGAGGGUAAACGCAGAUACGCGUAUCUGUCUGAAAGUAUCGUACGAAUAAGGAUCGGCUAACUCCGUG